GGGGGCGACCGGGUUCGACGGGGGUUACGACGUUUUGGUCGCAUGCCGAGCUGUGUACACUCGUUAAACGGGCACAACGCAGUCUAACUGCGAAUGAUAACUACGCUCUCGCGGCCUAAUUGACCGCGCGUCUCUCCCGGUCACUCCCGCGGCCCGGGAAGGGGCGAAAAUUAGUGGGAUAGGAAAGGCCUUGCGCCUCUGGGGGACUUUCCGAGAUACACCGAGGCUGGCUCAAAGGAAUCCCGCGCAUGGGAGUCCGGCGAGUGAGAUCAAAACGUGCGCUAAGCAUGUAGAAGCCAAGGCCUAGGGCCUUCGGACGGGGGUUCGAUUCCCCCCGCCUCCACCA
rnacentral:tmRNA from 1 species